CCACCUUAAUACAAUGAACCAAAGUCAAUUUACUUUCUACCUAUCAUAGAUAAGAGAGAUUGCCUUUUCCCUAAAUGAUGUUAAACUGUUUUACAAAUCCAUCCUUUUGAAACAAUAUAUCAUCAGACAUUCUGUUCUGUCAAGCUGCAACGACUCAGAUUUUGAUGCAAAAUCUCACAAUAAAGUCCAGGAUCAACCCUAGCACCCAAAACAAAAGCCAUUCCCAGUCUCAGAAACCAUUAUAAGAAUGACCUGGUUGCAUACUAGCAGGAAAAUUAUCUCUCUGAUUUACACCUGUGAUCAUCUCUUUCUCUUUGACAGUCAGAGGCAGGCAAUUUGUCCGCUCGUCUCUUAUCUUGCUCUUCUCUGAAUUAGGACUUUGAUUUAUUCCUUCUUGAUCUGUUUUCUUCCCUCGUAUCAUCAUCUUCUCUUGACCUUGGUUCAAUUUCAUCACGAUCAUGCCUCCUCUAUCUCUUUUCCUCCCUUCUGUAAUUAUCUUCUCUCAGACUUUGGCUCAGGUAAAUCAUCCUUGUGCCUUUUCAAUCUAGUUUCAUCUCUCUUAUAAUCAUCUUCUCUUGGCUUUGACUCAAAUUCAUCAUCUUCGAGCCUUCUUAAUUUCUUGUCUUCCCUUCUGAUAUAAACUUCUCUCGGCUUUGUGCAAUUUCAUUAUCAUCAUGCUUUCUUGGUCUCUUUUCCUCUCUCCUAUCACUUUGUGUAGGGUGGCUCUCUUACUCUGAGGGCCUAUCGUAGCUAGAUCCUUCCUCGCUCUUCCUUGGGCCACCAAACAUUUCAUGUCCCCAUUUAGAACUUUUAUCUUGAGAACCCCAACCUGUGUUUGCAGCUCUCUAGAUACAAAAGGGAAGGAAAGCAUAAAUACGUGAGCCAGCUAUUUUAAAAAGCAAAAUGAGUUGCAAGAACCUAAUCUGCACAGCAAAUUCAAUGACCGCAUCCCACAAAGUAAUUUACACCAGUAAUAUUUUUUGGGUCCAAAAAUGAACUAAAAUCACAAAUAAUAAAGCAGAUAAGAGGAUCGAGCGAUAAGUUCCAAAUCAAAUAAACAAAUACCCAGCCAAUAAAGAAGGUAUGCAAACAGGAAGCAACUACAACUUGAAAAAUUAAGAUUAAAAUUUUUAUUAAAGGAUAAAAUUAAAAUUUUAUAAAAGAGGCAAGAAAAAAAUGAAGAAAAACAAUCAAGAUCAAAUUUGAAAAAUUAAAAAAAAAGGAAAAAAUUUUAGAUUAAAUGAUGCAAUUAAAAAAAACUUAUAAAAGGACCCAUGACAAAAAUUAAAGAAUCAAAAGAAUGAAAAUUGAUACUCAAAUAUGAGGAUUGUCUUGAAAUUUUAAAUAUCAUGCAUGAAUUCCGAGGGAGAAGAAAGAAAAAAGAUAAAGAAAAUAGCUCCACGACAAUCCAUCCAACACAAUACAACACGUGCUACCUAUGGAGGAAGGGGAUGCCGCGGGCAAUCAACUGACAUGGUGGAAGUAGAUUUUCAACCACCGAAUUACUCUUCACACACCUUCAAAACUCCUUGGCACCUUUCACGCACUUCCAUGGGGUGGGCAUGCGCCUGACAUGCUUGAAUUUUUAAUAUUUUUUUAAUUACUGUAAAAAUCAAUUUAUCCCUCUACUUUUCUGAUUAUAAUAAAAAAUCUCAGAUAAAAAUACAAAAAUACCCCCCAAAAAAACCUAAAUUAAUUUUGUCACCAAAAAUAAUUUAGUAAAUUUAUUGUGCUAAAAAUAUAAAAUAUCUCACUUCAUAUAUAUAAAUUAAAAAAAUUAUUUUAAUGCAUUCUCAAACGAAAAACAUUUUGAGAAUAAUCUUCACCACUGUCCUAAAUACCCCAAGGGAGUUUAAGAAGAAUUCAAAAAAACUUCGGCUGAUAAUUGUUGCUCGUGGCGCAGUCAACUAGUGAUGCCUCCAAUGAGUGUUUAAGAUUAUGGUGCAGGGUAUUUUUUUAAAAAUAAUUUUUUUCUUGAAAAUACAUAAAAAUAAAUGUUUUUAUUUUUUUUAUUUUUAACAUCAGCACAUUAUAAACAACUAAACAAAACAUUAAUUUAAUAUUUUUCAAGUCAAAAAAACUUUUAAAAAACAUUUAAAAACAUAAACAAAAAUCAUGUCAAACACUCAUUUAAAUCCAAGACAUCAAUAACAUUUCUCCUACUUGUGUCCCUAAAAAAGAUAUUUUUAGUUUUUUUUUUAAAUGGCUAGAUUAGAAUUUAUCCAUAAGUGGGGUAUUUCUGUUUUUCGUUUUCUUUUCAAUUUCAACUUAAAAAUAUUAUCAAACUAGGUUACAUGUAAUGAAUUCAGAUUUUUGAUGAUGAAUUUAGAAUUAGAGGAAUGGAGCAAAACUCUUUCAUUUACUUUCUCAUGUCUCGCCAUAAAUUUAGGCCUAGCUUUAAUUGAUUUGGAUCAUGUAUGGAUACUACGGAGGAUCAAUUUACUUAGGCUCGAGAACAUGGAUUCUCACGACUCUGACCCUCUAUAGACCAUUUAAAGGUUAAAUCAAAUCAAUUAAAAUUUUAUGGAUGUUCUUGUGAUGCACAGAUCAAAUAUGUGCGUGCAAACUAGUACACUACACUAAAGCUUGUUACCCCUAUGAUUUUUAUUUUUUAAAAGAAUUUAUUUUUUAUUUUUUAAUUGAUAUUUAUUUUAUUUUUAUUUUUAUUUUUAUUUUUAUUUUUUUCAUUAAAUUGCAUCAUGUUUUUAGAGAUUUUAUCCUCAUUUUAUCUUUAUUGUUUUUACAUGUUUUUUUAUUAAUUUGUUUUCUAUUGAUCUUAUCCUUAGAACAUAAAUUGGUUGAGAAUUAUGUUUCUUAAUUGAAUCUGGAUAACAAAAUUUAUGGAAUAUGACUUUUAGAGAUUAAACUAAGUUUGAGAGGUUAGCCGAGUUUGCCUUGUUUUUUUUUAAAUUGAUUUUUUUAUUUUUAUUUUUUUUAACUUUUGUUUUAUAUUUUUGGCUUAAUUCACUUUUUCUAACUUUUGUUUUCUAUUGUUUUUCGUUUUGAUUCUAUUGGAUUAGCCCUUAACAAUUUUUUUCUAUUUCACCCCUACUAUUUUUUUAAUCUAUAAAUUAAUCUAUCAUAUUACAAAUAAUUUUCAAUUCACUUCUACGAUUUUUUUAAUCUUUCAAGUUUGGUCAUAAUUCUUUUAAUUGUAAUUUUUUUUGUUGGGGAUAUUUUUGACUUUUUUUUUUAUCCUCGUUGGGUUUUGUCCUGUAAGAUUUUAAGCUCAUUCUUUUUUUUUUGUUAUUCCUUUUUUUUUUACAAGUUUUUUUAUUAAUAAUUUUUUUUAAAGAUUCCAUCAUUUCAAAAUUAAAUUGAAUGACAUUUAAGUUUUUUCAUUGAACUCGGAUCCAUGAUUUAACAAGUUGCAAGUUUUUUUAUAUUAAACUAGGUUUAUAAAGUUUUUUUUUUUUUAAGGUGAUGUUUUAUGUUUUUUUUUUAAGUUUGACUUUUUUUUUCAUUUUGUUUUUAAUAAGGUUAGAUUGUUUGAUAAUUCGAAGAGGCUCGAGAGUAUGAUUUUUUUUAUCAGUAUAUUAUUAUUAUUAUUAUUUUCUGCAUUAUUUAAAUUGUUAUUUUAACCGAUGAUUUAGGAAUAAUUUUUUUUUUAACAUGUUGGUUUUUUACAAAGCGCUGAGAAGAUAUAUAGUAUAUAUUUUAAAUGCGCAUAAUGUUUUGUUACUGUUUUCCGGCAAGAGGACAGGACAAAGAAAAACAAAGAUUCAGUAACUGGCCACAGAAAAAGCUGAAAAGUAAAUUCUUGUCACCAACGCAUAAUCCAAAAAAAAAAAACACUUAAAAAUCCAAGAAAUACUGUGGGACGUGGCAAUUUCUCAGCGUACUAUUUCCUAUCCGUUUAUUAAAAUCCAAACCUUUAGAAAAGAACAGGCGUACAACUACUAUCCGUUAUUUAUAAAUCUGUCUCACCCGUGAUCAUCAUCAUCAUCGGUUUAGAUUUGGGUUCACCACACUUAAAAGGAAAGUCAAGCAUAUUACUAUUAUUCUCUCCUUUCCAAGGCAUAUACCCUCCUCUCCUCUGCUCUGCUUCAUAAAUAGCAAU
rnacentral:lncRNA from 1 species